GGGCCCGCACAAGCGGUGGAGCAUGUGGUUUAAUUCGAUGCAACGCGAAGAACCUUACCAGGGUUUGACAUAGUACGAAGUUUUUUGAAAAAAAACCACCUUCGGGAACGUACAUACAGGUGGUGCAUGGCUGUCGUCAGCUCGUGUCGUGAGAUGUUGGGUUAAGUCCCGCAACGAGCGUAACCCUUGUUUUUAGUUGCCUUUCGAGGAUAUUUAGAAAGACUGCCGAUUAUAAAUCGGAGGAAGGUAAGGACGACGUCAAGUCAUCAUGCCCCUUACACUCUGGGCUACACACGUGCUACAUUGGGUAGAACAAUAAGUUGCUAAGUUGCGAGGGGAGCCA
rnacentral:rRNA from 1 species